rnacentral:tRNA from 1 species
GCCCUGGUAGCGCAAUGGUUAAGCACUCAGCUGCUAACUGAAAGGUUGGCAGUUUGAACCUACCCCAUGGCU